CCUACGGGUGGCUGCAGUGAGGAAUAUUGGUCAAUGGGCGCGAGCCUGAACCAGCCAAGUCGCGUGAAGGAUGAAGGUUCUAUGGAUUGUAAACUUCUUUUAUAUGGGAAUAAAAUGCGGGACGUGUCCCGUUUUGUAUGUACCGUAUGAAUAAGCAUCGGCUAACUCCGUGCCAGCAGCCGCGGUAAUACGGAGGAUGCGAGCGUUAUCCGGAUUUAUUGGGUUUAAAGGGUGCGUAGGUCGUAAUUUAAGUCAGCGGUGAAAGUUUGUGGCUCAACCAUAAAAUUGCCGUUGAAACUGGAUUACUUGAGUGUGUUUGAGGUAGGCGGAAUGCGUGGUGUAGCGGUGAAAUGCAUAGAUAUCACGCAGAACUCCGAUUGCGAAGGCAGCUUACUAAACCAUAACUGACACUGAAGCACGAAAGCGUGGGGAUCAAACAG
rnacentral:rRNA from 1 species